rnacentral:rRNA from 1 species
AACGUACGCUGGCGGCACGCCUAACACAUGCAAGUCGAACGAAGUAGCAAUACUUAGUGGCAGACGGGUGAGUAACAUGUAGGUAUCUGCCCUUUGGCCUGGAAUAACACGAGGAAACUUGUGCUAAUACCGGAUAAGUCUUUACGGAGAAAGCUUUAUGCACCAUUGGAUGAGCCUGCACUUGAUUAGUUUGUUGGUGGGGUAAUGGCCUACCAAGACUGUGAUCAAUAGCUGAUUUGAGAGGAUGAUCAGCCACAUUGGGACUGAGACACGGCCCAAACUCCUACGGGAGGCAGCAGUGGGGAAUCUUGCACAAUGGAGGAAACUCUGAUGCAGCGAUGCCGCGUGAGUGAAGAAGGCCUUUGGGUUGUAAAGCUCUUUCGUCGGGGAAGAAAAUGACUGUACCCGAAUAAGAAGGUCCGGCUAACUUCGUGCCAGCAGCCGCGGUAAUACGAAGGGACCUAGCGUAGUUCGGAAUUACUGGGCUUAAAGAGUUCGUAGGUGGUUGAAAAAGUUAGUGGUGAAAUCCCAGAGCUUAACUCUGGAACUGCCAUUAAAACUUUUCAGCUAGAGUAUGAUAGAGGAAAGCAGAAUUUCUAGUGUAGAGGUGAAAUUCGUAGAUAUUAGAAAGAAUACCAAUGCGAAGGCAAGCUUUCUGGCAUCAAUACUGACACUGAG